rnacentral:rRNA from 1 species
AACGAACGCUGGCGGCGCGCCUAAUACAUGCAAGUCGAGCGAGAAGACGUAGCAAUACGUUUGUAAAGCGGCGAACGGGUGAGGAAUACAUGGGUAACCUACCCUCGAGUGGGGAAGUAACUAGCCGAAAGGUUAGCUAAUACCGCGUACGCUCCUUGGACUUCGGUUCAGGGAGGGAAAGCGAUACCGUGGGUAUCGCGCUCUUGGAUGGGCGUCAUGUCCUAUCAGCUUGUUGGGAGGUAACGGCUCACCAAGGCUUCGACGGGUAGCUGGUCUGAGAGGACGAUCAGCCACACUGGCACUGCGACACGGGCCAGACUCCUACGGGAGGCAGCAGUAAGGAAUAUUGCGCAAUGGGCGAAAG